GACGAACGCUGGCGGCGUGCUUGAUACAUGCAAGUCGAACGGACUUUCCCUUGAAGGGUAACUGGAUUGGGAGAGUUAGUGGCGGACGGGUGAGUAACGCGUGGGUAAUCUGCCCUGGAGCCCGGGACAACAGCGCGAAAGUGCUGCUAAGACCGGAUGACCUUGCGAGGUGGCAUCAUUUUGCAAGCAAAGGUUACGCUCCUGGAUGAGCCCGCGUCCCAUUAGCUAGUUGGUGAGGUAACGGCUGACCAAGGCGACGAUGGGUAGCCGGACGGAGAGGUUGGCCGGGCACACUGAGACUGAGACACGGCCCAGACUCCUACGGGAGGCAGCAGUAGGGAAUUGUCGGAAAUGGGGGAAACCCUGGCCGAGCGGCGCCGCGUGAGGGAUGGAGGCCUUCGGGUUGUAAACCUCUGUCUUCGGGGACGAUGAUGACGGUACCCGAGGAGGAAGCCACGGCUAACCACGUGCCAGCCGCCGCCGUAAUAC
rnacentral:rRNA from 1 species